rnacentral:lncRNA from 1 species
AAAGUUUGCAUUGGGCUCAGAAAUAAUAACCAUAAAAAAUUCUACAUUUAAUCAAGUUAAAAUAACUGUCUGUUUUUAUGUAAAUUUUAGGAAAAGCACUUCUGAGUGAAGAAUGUGUUCAAAAGAGAAUAUAAAUAGCCCUCUGAGCCCUGCUUGAUCAUCAGUAGAAAUGGCACCACAUGGAUCUCUGUAACCAAGUGGAAUCGCUCAUCCAGGCCGAAGACAUGUGCUGUGGUGGUUUCCUGUCUGGAGCAUCUUCACUGUGUCAAGAACUUUGCUGAAGAACUGGCACUCUUCACCUUCCGUCCAUAUGAAUUAAUGAGGUUCAUCUCUGUCUGCAGCCUGUUGGAAGUGCAGCAGCUGUUGGGAUUUACCCAACAAGCACACACCUUGAGGAUCAGAGAAACGUUUGUACACUAGUAAUUUCCCUAUACAGGUUCAAUCCACCUUUAUGUUAUGCUCUCA